rfam:Schistosoma mansoni strain Puerto Rico chromosome 2, complete genome
ACCCAGCUGACGGGUCCCAAAAAGGACGAAACGCGCGUCAAACUGGAU